AACGAACGCUGGCGGCAUGCCUAACACAUGCAAGUCGAACGAGACCUUCGGGUCUAGUGGCGCACGGGUGCGUAACGCGUGGGAACCUGCCCUUAGGUUCGGAAUAACUCCCCGAGAGGGGUGCUAAUACCGGAUAAUGUCUUCGGACCAAAGAUUUAUCGCCUUUGGAUGGGCCCGCGUUGGAUUAGCUAGUUGGUAGGGUAAAAGCCUACCAAGGCGACGAUCCAUAGCUGGUCUGAGAGGAUGCUCAUCCACACUGGGACUGAGACACGGCCCAGACUCCUACGGGAGGCAGCAGUGGGGAAUAUUGGACGAUGGGCGAAAGCCUGAUCCAGCAAUGCCGGGUGAGUGAUGAAGGCCUUAGGGUUGUAAAGCUCUUUUACCCGGGAUGAUAAUGACGGUACCGGGAGAAUAAGCUCCGGCUAACUCCGUG
rnacentral:rRNA from 1 species